UGUUUGGGAAUGCAGCUCUAAGUGGGUGGUAAAUUCCAUCUAAAGCUAAAUAUUGGCGAGAGACCGAUAGCGAACAAGUACAGUGAUGGAAAGAUGAAAAGAACUUUGAAAAGAGAGUGAAAAAGUACGUGAAAUUGUUGAAAGGGAAGGGCUUGAGAUCAGACUUGGUAUUUUGUGUUCCUUAUCCUUCUUGGAUUAGGUUCCUCACAGCUUACCGGGCCAGCAUCGGUUUGGAUGGCAGGAUAAUGACAUUGGAAUGUAGCUUUGCUUCGGUGAAGUGUUAUAGACUUUGUUGAUACUGCCUAUCUAGACCGAGGACUG
rnacentral:rRNA from 1 species